CGCUGGGCAGCACCUGCUUACAUGAGGCCAUCUUGGCAUUCAGUCAGCACCUGGACCAGUUCUCCCUCCACCAAGGAGAUGGGUUCAUUUCUGCUGGUGCCCGAAUUUGAGGACCUACAUUCAAUUCCUGGAACCUGUAAGGGCAGCUCUCAUUGACCUGUAAUUCCAGCUCCAAGACAUCCAGUGCCCCCUUCUGGACGUGAUGGGAACUGCACUCAAAUGUGCACACUAGCCUCCCCGCCCCACAGGUACAUCUAACUACAAUUAAAAAUUCUUAGCCGGGC